UACGGGGGGGGCAAGCGUUGUUCGGAAUUACUGGGCGUAAAGGGCUCGUAAGCGGCCAACUAAGUCAGACGUGAAAUCCCCAGGCUUAACCUGGGAACUGCGUCUGAUACUGGAUGGCUUGAAUUCGGGAGAGGGAUGCAGAAUUCCAGGUGUAGCGGUGAAAUGCGUAGAUAUCUGGAGGAAUACCGGUGGCGAAGGCGGCAUUCUGGACCAUAACUGACACUGAGAGACGAAAGCCAGGGGGAGCAAACAGG
rnacentral:rRNA from 1 species